AAAAUCCGUCGACUUUAGAAAUCGUGAGGGUUCAAGUCCCUCUAUCCCC
rnacentral:tRNA from 370 species